UGGGCGUAAGCGCGCGCAGGCGGUUUCUUAAGUCUGAUGUGAAAGCCCACGGCUCAACCGUGGAGGGUCAUUGGAAACUGGGGAACUUGAGUGCAGAAGAGAAAAGCGGAAUUCCACGUGUAGCGGUGAAAUGCGUAGAGAUGUGGAGGAACACCAGUGGCGAAGGCGGCUUUUUGGUCUGUAACUGACGCUGAGGCGCGAAAGCGUGGGGAGCAAACAGGAUUAGAUACCCUGGUAGUCCACGCCGUAAACGAUGAGUGCUAAGUGUUAGAGGGUUUCCGCCCUUUAGUGCUGCAGCUAACGCAUUACCGCACUCCGCCUGGGGAGUACGGUCGCAAGACUGAAACUCUUAGGAAUUGACGGGGGCCCGCACAAGCGGUGGAGCUUGUGGUUUAAUUCGAAGCAACGCGAAGAACCUUACCAGGUCUUGACAUCCUCUGACAACUCUAGAGAUACAGCGUUCCCCUUCGGGGGACAGAGUGACAGGUGUUGCAUGGUUGU
rnacentral:rRNA from 2 species